AAGUCUGCUUUGAAUCCGAAGACAUUCGUGACGGAUUUCACAGUGAGCGAACAGUCAACUGUUUUCAGAACCUGUUCGUUGUUGUUGAAAUUCGUUGUGAGAGUCUGUUGUACAAAAGAAUCUCCUC
rnacentral:precursor_RNA from 10 species